rnacentral:rRNA from 1 species
AGAGUUUGAUCCUGGCUCAGGACGAACGCUGUGCGGCGUGCCUAACACAUGCAAGUCGAACGGAGAUUGCGGAAUAGCAUGCUAGGAAACAAUCUUAGUGGCGGACGGGCGAGUAACGCGUGAGUAACCUGCCCCUGAGUGGGGAAUAACGACUGGAAACGGUCGCUAAUACCGCAUAAAGUAUCGAAGCGGCAUCGUUUUGAUACCAAAGGAUUAAUUCGCUGAGGGAUGGACUCGCGUCCGAUUAGCUAGUUGGUGAGGUAACGGCUCACCAAGGCGACGAUCGGUAGCCGAACUGAGAGGUUGAUCGGCCGCAUUGGGACUGAGACACGGCCCAGACUCCUACGGGAGGCAGCAGUGGGGGAUAUUGCACAAUGGGGGAAACCCUGAUGCAGCAACGCCGCGUGAGGGAAGAAGGUCUUCGGAUUGUAAACCUAAGUUGUCAGGGACGAAACAUGACGGUACCUGAAGAGAAAGCUCCGGCUAACUACGUGCCAGCAGCCGCGGUAAUACGUAGGGAGCGAGCGUUGUCCGGAUUUACUGGGUGUAAAGGGGUGCGUAGGCGGGUUUGCAAGUCAGGCGAGAAAUACCGAAGCUUAACUUCGGGGCUGCGCUUGAAACUGUAAAUCUUUGAGUGAAAUAAAGGCCAAACGGAAAUUCCCAAGUGUACCGGUGAAAUGCCGAACAUAUUAGGGAAUGACACCCACUGGCGAAAGGCGCCUUGCUGGGGCUUUAUCUGACUCUGAAGUUCAAAACCCUGGGGGACCAAAAGGAAUAAGAACAACUGGUUAGUCCCGCACAAAACCGAAGAAGACUAAGGGGGAGGGGGACUUGACCCC